GAUCUCUGGUAUACAAAUUUGAUUCCAGAAACAGAAGAAACAAAAACAAAAACACUUUUCCACUUACCUCUUCCCAGUUCGUUUUCUACCGAAUCUCAAAUAGGUCUACCCAACUCUCUCUCUCCCUCGCUCUCUUCGUACACCUAUCCUACGGACUCAGCUUUGGGUUUCACCGCCAAAGAAUCUCUCGUCAAUUCCAGAUUCAACAGGUGUGUUUUCAUGCAUAUUGUAUAUUAUUUGGAGUAGAGAAUAAACUCAAGUGCAAUGCAAAAGGAUCAGAAUAUGAGUGUGUCACCAACACCUACUGCUCGAAUUCGACAUCGUAGACGUUCCAAUGAGGUUCCUUCUGAAUUUGGCAAAUCAAAUGGAAGCCAUUUACUUGUUAAUGAUCACAACAAAUACAAAUCUAUGUGGAUUCGGGCAUAUUCAUCCAUGUGGAUGAUUGGGGGCUUCAUAGCUAUUAUCUACUUGGGUCAUCUUUAUAUUUGGGCCAUGGUUGUUGUUAUCCAAAUAUUUAUGGCAAGAGAACUAUUCAAUCUGCUAAGAAGAGCACAUGAAGAUAAGCAUCUUCCAGGAUUCAGGCUCUUGAAUUGGCAUUUUUUCUUCACAGCAAUGCUGUUCGUAUAUGGCCGUAUUCUCAGUCAACAGCUUGUGAAUACUAUGAGUACAGAUAAAUUCUUCUAUAAGCUCGUGAGCGGCCUUCUCAAGUAUCAGAUGGUUAUUUGUUAUUUCUUAUAUAUUGCAGGUUUCAUGUGGUUUAUUCUUACAUUAAAGAAGAAGAUGUACAAGUAUCAAUUUGGCCAGUAUGCAUGGACACACAUGAUUCUUAUUGUGGUGUUCACGCAGUCCUCAUUUAUUGUAGGCAAUAUCUUUGAAGGGAUUUUCUGGUUCCUUCUCCCGGCAUCACUUAUUGUUAUUAAUGACAUUGCUGCAUAUUUCUUUGGUUUCUUCUUUGGAAAAACGCCUUUGAUCAAACUCUCUCCAAAGAAAACAUGGGAAGGUUUUAUUGGAGGAUCAGUUGCAACUGUGAUCUCAGCAUUUGUGCUCGCAAACAUUCUGGGCCAUUUCCCGUGGCUGACAUGUCCGAGGAAGGAUUUAUCAACUGGUUGGCUUCGAUGUGAUCCUGACCCACUUUUUAAGCCAGAGCAUUAUCCUUUACUAGAAUGGGUUCCACAAUGGUUUCCUUGGAAAGAGAUUUCAGUUUUGCCGGUGCAGUGGCAUGCUUUAUGCUUGGGUUUGUUUGCAUCAAUUAUAGCACCCUUUGGUGGCUUUUUUGCUAGUGGUUUCAAGAGAGCUUUCAAAAUCAAGGAUUUUGGAGAUAGUAUUCCUGGACAUGGUGGAAUUACAGACAGAAUGGAUUGUCAGAUGGUGAUGGCCGUGUUUGCUUACAUCUACCACCAGUCAUUUGUUGUUCCUCAAAGCUAUUCGGUUGAGAUGAUUUUGAACCAGAUAUUAAGGAACCUUACUUUCGAGGAGCAGCACGCACUGUACAUGAAGCUUGGGCAGAUAUUCCAGGAGAGGCAAUUAGGGCUUUCUUCUAGCAGCAUGUCCUCUUAUGUAAUGUAAUCAUCCAGCAUCCCGUGCAUCUGGUAUUGUCUUCCCAAGAGCAACCCAUUUGAAAUGUGAGGUCCAAGGUUCAAUCUUUUCGGAAGGCAGGCGCUACAGCUUUUGUUUUAUAUGUUUUAAGCAUUUAAAUUUAAAACCCAAGUGCUCUUCAAGAGCUCAUGGAAAAAUCAGAACAUAUAUGAUCUAAGAGUAUCUUUUACAAUGGUGAA